AAAGUCGUAACAAGGUUUCCGUAGGUGAACCUGCGGAAGGAUCAUUAACACUUUUUAUUAUUUUGUUUUUUUUCUAAAACAAAAUUUAAAACCCCACAAUUUUGGAUGAAUUUAAUUAAUUUAUUUUUUAUUUUAUUUUUUUUAUUAUAACCCUAUUAUUUUGACUAACAUUUUUAUUUAAUUAUUAAAAAAUUAAAAAAACAACUCUUAACAACGGAUAUCUUGGCUCUC
rnacentral:misc_RNA from 1 species